rnacentral:rRNA from 1 species
CCUACGGGAGGCAGCAGUAGGGAAUCUUCCGCAAUGGACGAAAGUCUGACGGAGCAACGCCGCGUGAACGAUGAAGGCCUUCGGGUCGUAAAGUUCUGUUGUUAGGGAAGAACAAGUGCUAGUUGAAUAAGCUGGCACCUUGACGGUACCUAACCAGAAAGCCACGGCUAACUACGUGCCAGCAGCCGCGGUAAUACGUAGGUGGCAAGCGUUGUCCGGAAUUAUUGGGCGUAAAGCGCGCGCAGGCGGUUUCUUAAGUCUGAUGUGAAAGCCCCCGGCUCAACCGGGGAGGGUCAUUGGAAACUGGGAAACUUGAGUGCAGAAGAGGAAAGUGGAAUUCCAAGUGUAGCGGUGAAAUGCGUAGAGAUUUGGAGGAACACCAGUGGCGAAGGCGACUUUCUGGUCUGUAACUGACGCUGAGGCGCGAAAGCGUGGGGAGCAAACAGGAUUAGAUACCCUGGUAGUCCACGCUGUAAACGAUGAGUGCUAAGUGUUAGAGGGUUUCCGCCCUUUAGUGCUGAAGUUAACGCAUUAAGCACUCCGCCCGGGGAGUACGGUCGCAAGACUGAAACUUAAUGAAUUGACG